rnacentral:rRNA from 1 species
AUUGAACGCUGGCGGCAUGCCUUACACAUGCAAGUCGAACGGUAACGCGGGGCAACCUGGCGACGAGUGGCGAACGGGUGAGUAAUGCAUCGGAACGUGCCUGGUAGUGGGGGAUAACUGCUCGAAAGAGCAGCUAAUACCGCAUACGACCUGAGGGAGAAAGGGGGGGAUCGUAAGACCUCUCGCUAUCAGAGCGGCCGAUGUCGGAUUAGCUAGUUGGUGGGGUAAAGGCCCACCAAGGCAACGAUCCGUAGCUGGUCUGAGAGGACGACCAGCCACACUGGGACUGAGACACGGCCCAGACUCCUACGGGAGGCAGCAGUGGGGAAUUUUGGACAAUGGACGCAAGUCUGAUCCAGCCAUGCCGCGUGCGGGAAGAAGGCCUUCGGGUUGUAAACCGCUUUUGUCAGGGAAGAAAUCUUCUGGGUUAAUACCUCGGGAGGAUGACGGUACCUGAAGAAUAAGCACCGGCUAACUACGUGCCAGCCGCCGCCGUAACAC